GCGACAGGAGGUGGGGGAGGUGUGAUGUAGAGGGAUUGAAAUUGGAGGAAGAUUUUUGCUUUUUGCUUUUAUUUGUUUUUGCUUCCACUUUUCCCCUUUAUUCUUUCCGCAUCGUUUUUCUUUGUUUUCGUUUCAUGGCCUUUGGUUGGGCGUGGUUGGCGAUGGAGGGUGUUUGGCUGAUUGAACUACCGGAAAUUCCCCUUUGUUGCUGAGGUGUUUUUCGAUUUUCUCUGACCUUUCCUUAAAUAGCUCAAUGGCGCUUAUUGCAGGAUUUUGUGCUUUCUCUUUUUAUUUCGUUUCCAGGAAUGGAUGGAUGGAUGGAUGGAUGCAACGAGAUGCAGCUCUGUAAUUGCAGGUUUUUUUGUGAAUAGUUAGCUCUCCCUA
rnacentral:sRNA from 2 species